rnacentral:rRNA from 1 species
GGCGGACGGGUGAGUAAUGUCUGGGAAACUGCCUGAUGGAGGGGGAUAACUACUGGAAACGGUAGCUAAUACCGCAUAACGUCGCAAGACCAAAGAGGGGGACCUUCGGGCCUCUUGCCAUCGGAUGUGCCCAGAUGGGAUUAGCUAGUAGGUGGGGUAACGGCUCACCUAGGCGACGAUCCACUAGCUGGUCUGAGAGGAUGACCAGCCACACUGACUAGACUACC